AAUCACCCUAGGAUUCCCAUCUGUGGUAUAUUGUGUUACUUAUCAGAAAUAUUUACUUUCACUCCCUGCCUCGUUGAUAUCAGACUUGGCUUAUGACUUCCCUUGCUUCUCCCUGCUAUCUUUAAUAUCCUUGUCCUGUCUGUUCCAGGAAAACUUGUUUAAGCCAGCCAAAUAUGUGAUGAACACACAGCAUCAUUAAAGCCAAGUGACCUUUAAAAGGAAGAUGUUGAUCACAAUGGUUAGCGCUUAUGAUCAACUUGACACCGUCUAGAAUCACUGGGGAGGACAGCUUUAAUGAGAGAUCAUCUGUUUUAUUGUCCCGUCCAGCAGGACCCGGGUAUUCGUGGGUGCGAGGGGGACCGCAAACCUGAAGAGAAAUGAGCGAGAAAGAAGAGCGAGACCAAGCAAAGAGUUGUCAAGGUUUCUUCAUCAUUCUGGAUCCCAGAGGAGGGGACAGACACUGGGGUGACUAAAUCCCAUGAAUGACAAACUUUUGUGCUUAUAAAGCACUGAGCCUGGAUGGGAUGUUUGUUACUGUAACACAACCUGACAUUCCUAGCCGAUACACCAACUCCCCAGCAAGGCAAGUACUUUACCAAUUGCACUGUCUACC
rnacentral:lncRNA from 1 species